rnacentral:rRNA from 1 species
CAGCCGGCCGCGGGAAUACGGAGGGUGCAAGCGUUAAUCGGAAUUACUGGGCGUAAAGCGCGCGUAGGUGGUUUGUUAAGUUGGAUGUGAAAUCCCCGGGCUCAACCUGGGAACUGCAUUCAAAACUGACUGACUAGAGUAUGGUAGAGGGUGGUGGAAUUUCCUGUGUAGCGGUGAAAUGCGUAGAUAUAGGAAGGAACACCAGUGGCGAAGGCGACCACCUGGACUAAUACUGACACUGAGGUGCGAAAGCGUGGGGAGCAAACAGGAUUAGAUACCCGUGUAGUCCCUGUCUCUUAUU